rnacentral:rRNA from 1 species
AUGCCGCGUGCAGGAUGAAGGCCUUCGGGUUGUAAACUGCUUUUGUACGGAACGAAACGGUGCGCCUUAAUACGGUGGGCUAAUGACGGUACCGUAAGAAUAAGCACCGGCUAACUACGUGCCAGCAGCCGCGGUAAUACGUAGGGUGCGAGCGUUAAUCGGAAUUACUGGGCGUAAAGCGUGCGCAGGCGGUUAUAUAAGACAGAUGUGAAAUCCCCGGGCUCAACCUGGGACCUGCAUUUGUGACUGUAUAGCUAGAGUACGGUAGAGGGGGAUGGAAUUCCGCGUGUAGCAGUGAAAUGCGUAGAUAUGCGGAGGAACACCGAUGGCGAAGGCAAUCCCCUGGACCUGUACUGACGCUCAUGCACGAAAGCGUGGGGAGCAAACAGGAUUAGAUACCCUGGUAGA